CAGGGAUGAACCACCGGAGCCCAGCCUGAGUCACUCAGUGAGUCACUCAGUGAGCCACUCAGUGAGUCACCGAAGCGGCCGGCUGAGGAGGCAGGCGGCACCCACAGACGGGAGCCCACCAGGGUCUGCGGCAGGAAGGCGGGGCGCCUACCACAGCAUGGCUUGCCAAGCAGCGCUGUCUCCAAACCCGGGCUCCGAACCUGCGAACCCCUGGCCGCUGAGAAGCGGAACGUGCGCACUUAACAGCUGCGCCACCGGCCGGCCCCUGGACUCUUCUGAUGACUUCUGCCUGCCUUUCUGAAAAUGCCCGUCCUGCCUUCCCCCGACUUUCCCGCCCCAGGCCCCCCAACACUCCCUGCCCCCAGAGCAGAUCCCACCCCUCCGACCUGACUUCUCGGAUACCUGAAACUGCCCAGAGACCCAUUAUUUUUCCGGGACACUCCCAGGAAGAUAAAUUUGUCCGUUCUCCUUGA